rnacentral:rRNA from 1 species
GACGAACGCUGGCGGCGUGCUUAACACAUGCAAGUCGAACGAAGAGCGAUGGAAGCUUGCUUCUAUCAAUCUUAGUGGCGAACGGGUGAGUAACGCGUAAUCAACCUGCCCUUCAGAGGGGGACAACAGUUGGAAACGACUGCUAAUACCGCAUACGAUCUAACCUCGGCAUCGAGGAAAGAUGAAAGGUGGCCUCUAUGUAUAAGCUAUCACUGAAGGAGGGGAUUGCGUCUGAUUAGCUAGUUGGAGGGGUAACGGCCCACCAAGGCGAUGAUCAGUAGCCGGUCUGAGAGGAUGAACGGCCACAAUGGGACUGAGACACGGCCCAGACUCCUACGGGGGGCAGCAGUGGGGAAUCUUCCGCAAUGGACGAAAGUCUGACGGAGCAACGCCGCGUGAGUGAUGACGGCCUUCGGGUUGUAAAGCUCUGUUAAUCGGGACGAAAGGCCUUCUUGCGAAUAGGGAGAAGGAUUGACGGUACCGGAAUAGAAAGCCACGGCUAACUACGUG